rnacentral:rRNA from 1 species
GACGAACGCUGGCGGUGUGCCUAAUACAUGCAAGUCGAACGCAGUGGGGACGGGUGAGUAACACGUGGGUAACCUCCCAUAAGAGGGGAUAACACUUGGAAACAGGUGCUAAACCGAUACUGAUGGAUGGACCCGGGGGGCAUUAGCUAGUUGGUGAGGUAACGGCUCACCAAGGCCACGAUGCAUAGCCGACCUGGGAGGGGGAUCGCCCACACGGGAACUGAGACACGCCCAAGAUUCCUACGGGAGGAAGCAGUAGGGAAUCUUCGGCAAUGGACGAAGGCCUGACCGGGAAACGCCGGGGGAGUGAAGAAGGUUUUCGAAUCUUAAAACUCGGUUGUUAGGGAAGCGGUAUCUAACCAGAAAGCCACGGCUAACUACGUGCCAGCAGCCGCGGUAAUAC